GGGUAUAGCUCAGUGGUAGAGCGGAUUCUUAGCAUGCAUAAGAUCCUGGGUUCAAUUCUCAGUACCUCCA
rnacentral:tRNA from 1 species